GAACGCUUCUUUUUCCACCGGAGCUUGCUCCACCGGAAAAAGAGGAGUGGCGAACGGGUGAGUAACACGUGGGUAACCUGCCCAUCAGAAGGGGAUAACACUUGGAAACAGGUGCUAAUACCGUAUAACAAUCAAAACCGCAUGGUUUUGAUUUGAAAGGCGCUUUCGGGUGUCGCUGAUGGAUGGACCCGCGGUGCAUUAGCUAGUUGGUGAGGUAACGGCUCACCAAGGCCACGAUGCAUAGCCGACCUGAGAGGGUGAUCGGCCACAUUGGGACUGAGACACGGCCCAAACUCCUACGGGAGGCAGCAGUAGGGAAUCUUCGGCAAUGGACGAAAGUCUGACCGAGCAACGCCGCGUGAGUGAAGAAGGUUUUCGGAUCGUAAAACUCUGUUGUUAGAGAAGAACAAGGAUGAGAGUAACUGUUCAUCCCUUGACGGUAUCUAACCAGAAAGCCACGGCUAACUACGUGCCAGCAGCCGCGGUAAUACGUAGGUGGCAAGCGUUGUCCGGAUUUAUUGGGCGUAAAGCGAGCGCAGGCGGUUUCUUAAGUCUGAUGUGAAAGCCCCCGGCUCAACCGGGGAGGGUCAUUGGAAACUGGGAGACUUGAGUGCAGAAGAGGAGAGUGGAAUUCCAUGUGUAGCGGUGAAAUGCGUAGAUAUAUGGAGGAACACCAGU
rnacentral:rRNA from 1 species